GACUUGUCCUUGGUCAGCUUGUUUUCUUUUCCCCCGCAACAGCUAUUUUAAAAUGUACUACUUUCUUUAGGAAUUCUAUCCCCUUUCGUUCUUUUCAUUCUUAGCCAGCAAUGUGUUCAAAGUCUUUUCCUCUUCCAAGAGAAAAUAGAGACCAUCAUCAGAAAGGCAUUCUCUCCAUUCUCUUCCUGUCUCCCUUAAAAGUUGCCUGGGGGGCAGAUCCUGUCCUGUUGUAGGAAGAGGUAUCUCCCUUAUUUUAAGUGCUCAGCACCAAGUCAUAGAAUAAAAAGCACUGUACUUGAAGUCAGAUGGCCUGUGUUGAAAGGCGGCUCCACUAUUAGCCAUGUGACUUUAGUUUCAGGUGUACAACAUGGUGAUUCGACAAUUCUAGACACGACUCACUGCUCACCACGAGUCUGGAGAACGCUUCUGAUUUAUCCAUGACUGAAUCUUGCACUACCCUGAAGAAAACUAUGAUUUGAGAUUCAUCUCACGAAUUCUCGCAACAUCCCGGGAAAGCAGAACGUGACUAGGCAACUGAUUUAUUCACAUAUGUCUGGCAAAGUUCAAGAUUUCCUAGCCGGAAAAUGUAAUUCCCCUAAAAAACAACAACAAACCAACCAUACUGCAAAGGCAGAGCCUGCAAGAAGAGCCUGCAGCUACUCUGAAUUCUCCUGUCCAAGUAUAAGUUCACGUGCAGCAGAAUCUACAGUGAGAGAUACUUAAUGGUCCUUUUGUAUACUUUGAUCUGAAAGCUUCCCAACCUCUAAGGCACAUUUUAAAAGUAGAAGUAAAGAGAGAGGAGAUGAGGACAGCAUAAGGAAAAUGAAAACUACCCAUAGACUGAGAGGAUAUCAUAUAUCUGCUGAGGAAACUGAGCCCUACACUACGACGUGCAAGGUGGUACAUCAAGGAGCCAGCCAGCCCACAUCACUCACGUCCCUCAGCCCGCCUGGCUCCACUGCGGGGCCGUCCCGAGUUGCUGUUUGUACAAAAUUCACUCUUUGUAUGGAUCGUUUCCUCCCAUCAAAUGCCCCAGUGUCCCAAAAUCAGUUUGUCUAUGGAAUACUUUCCCAAGGAUGCUGAUAGUACCACAAGAAAACAAAUGAGCCCCCCUUCGGCUCUCCAUGUGCCUGUGGAGAUGGAGGAGUUAGGUAACCGACGCCUAUUUUCUACAAGCAGAACGAGGACACCCGGUAUACAAAUGGGUCCGACUAACCUGACUGAGAAGCUUGACAAGCUUGUGGGAAACAAGUCAGAGGAUCAGAGCUAGAACUGACAGGAAAAGACUUCUCAGUAUGGAUUUCCUCCUCGAGCAAGCUUGUACUCACAACUUCCCUGGAAGGAGAUCCUUAUUAAAAGAAUGGAAGGAAGAAAGGAGAAAAUAAGGAAGGGAAGGAGGAAGGGAGGGUGGGGAUGUAUGACAGACUCUGUCGGGUCUCUGCUUAUGUAUCCUUGGCUCGCACCGUGUUCUUGCACACUAGGAAGUCCGCAAGCAGCUGCAAGCCGUCUCCCGCUAAAGGAGUGUGCUGAGUCUGCGCACAGAGCGAAGCUAUGUGCCCGGGAGCUGAAAGGCCCUGGAAUAACCUCAGCCAAUGGCGGAGAGCAAUUGACGGAUGGAUAUUCCACUGCCUUGCUCCUAGAAAGCUAGCGCUCUGGGUAUACCCUAUGCCGUCCCCCAGAUGUUCCCAGCAGGAUGGAACCCCAGCUGCCUACAGCAGUAACUGCCCAUUAAUGCACCCUGUUUGGGCGUCCCUCCCUGCUCCCCUGCUGGUUCUCCCCGGCGUCACCUCCCAAAUCAACUCCUUCCACUCAGAUGCCAGUAUCAGAGUUGGCUUUCAGCUGAAGAUAAGCAUGUGUGGAGUAAGACACCCUUGCCUCAUUCCUGGGGUUCGCCUGGGGCAUGCUAUUCCCUCAUCGACAUAAAAAGUAGAUUUUUGUUCCUCAAGAAAACCCACACAAUUGCAAAUGGCUUGAAUAGGUAGGAGACUCUCCUUAAACACAGGUCACUGAUCCGCUCACAUACAGGGCGGUUCUUCUGGGGACAGUGGUGCUGGUGUUCGGGUCCGAGUGGCCUGUUCCUACUGCUCGGCUGACUUCCCAGCAGGGGGCAGACCGAGACAGAAGCUGUCCUGGAGAUGCGGUGAUGUGAUGGGGUGUCCCACUGGCCUUCCUCCCCCAGUAUCAAAGCCUAUAAUUCAGAAGUGAUUGACGAUAUUAGGUCAAAUCUACAUGUUCUGAUGUCCCCAUUGGCAGAUCAAAAACAAUUUAUGCUUAGUUUUGGAAUCCAUGUGCAUAAUGUACGCAUCUGUGUCUGGUGGGAGGCAUCUUUAUGUAUCUAAUGAUGCUUUAAUUAAGUGGAUAUUCAAAUUGGCCACCCCCAGGAGAUGCAGCUACCCCCCCAGGCGUAGCAGACGAUGGGGGAAAAGACAGUCCGCGAUUAAAACGUCACAUGGGAUAAAUGCCAAAGCAGAGGUCCCACCCUGGGAGAGUUAUGAAUUGACUGUACCCCUUCUCAUCUCCACUCCCUCAAUCAUUGCUGAUGGGCAGAGGGAAACCAUUUUCUGCCAUCUGGUUUUUGCAAAAGUCAGGCAGUAAGCUCCCUGGGACAGGGAUCUUAUCUUGUGCAGUUCAAGAAUGAGCACAUGGCCAUGUACACUCAACAAGCUCUAUUAGUAGUGAAUGCAAUCAUAAAAAUAGCCCAAACGUGGAUAUUUGAUAAUGCCCCCGAAGUCAGCCUUCGUCAUCGUGUCCGAAGGGCACUGGGUUCCCCAGGCUGGUGCCUUGUGUCUCUCAGACAAGCACCUUGGCUGAUAAGACGGCGGCGGGCUAUUGUGAAAAUCACACAGUAGUUCCCAGGAUCCUGGAAAAACAGCAGUUCAAUCACAACGGUUUUUUUUUUCCUUGGUGUUUGACUUUGGCACUGAGUUCUUUUCAAAUGAGAACUAUGCCAAACAUCUUGUUCGAACCCUUCCACUCGGCAGAUAUGCAAACAACCUCUCUGUAGCUGCCAGGGGAAGGGGGGGUGGGGAGGGGAGUACUGAGAGUUCCAUGGAAAACCACAGGAGGCUCAGAACCCUUCCUCUGCAGGCAGGAGCCAGCUUGCAGCGACAUCUGGGAGCAGGACAUGGACUGAGCAACUCCGAGCGCUCAGCGAAGUAUGGGCCUGGCAGCUGGAGCACCCUCGGGGGGCUCUGCCUGCAGGCUCCCCAGGCCAGGCCUUACUGUGUGAUUUUCAGGGUUGGCCGUCAUUGCUGUUUCCUCCCCCAGGGUAAGUGCACAGAAGUUAGGGCAUCGGGAGCUGAAUUCUCCUCCAAGGACCUGCUAAGCUCCUGGGGCAGAGACUGUGUUUGCAUAUAAAUAUACCAGUGUGCAUUGGAUCUUGUGUACGUGCUCACGGAGGGUCAGGAUGGCCCUGGGAUGGACACGGCCGUCUGUGUCUGGAGGAAGACCUAACACACAGGAUUUCCUGGGGAAGAAGUUUCCCUCCUGAGCAAGCAGAUCCUUUCCCCACAGCCUGAGAAACGGCAGGAGGCCGCCUGCCACACAGCCUCCCUGGGACAGUGAGCAGGGCUCAGCUCUGUGAGAGACGCACUCCCCAAGACCAGCCAUCCCAGGUCCCGGCCAGCUUCCGAGGCUCCAGCCCUCUGUCUCCAAGGGCAGGAAAAUCAUCCUUCUUUAUUCCCAAAGCAAACGGUUCCUAGGAAAGAGCAGAAUCUUUGGAGAAAAUCACAUCAUCCCAGAGGGGAGAGCCAGCGCCUUUGUACUAUUUUUCAGGGCUGCCUUCGGAGCCAAUAAUCUGUCAUUCCUUGAAUAAACAAGCACCUUAUCAUAUCACAAACAUUUAUUUAACCCUUUUCUCCCGCAGGGUUAAAUAAGGGAGAGAGAAAGCGGUUAGCAGAACAGCCGGAGCCCUGUGGCAGAAAUGCCAAAUUCUCUGAACAUUACACCCAAUCUGUAAAGUGUCAGUCGGCCCUUCUCUCUGCCUCCACGAGAUGCCAGAGCGUUCACCCCAGACUCCGGCCCCACGUCCCCGCCUCCCACUGCUAUUCCCACCCCACCCCCGCCCCUCUCCAUUAAUACCCCUCAUCCUUUUGCAGACAGGCCCUUAAUUCCAUCCAAAUGGAGUCUGGACUAAUUUGUUAGGUUCUUUAGGGGGCUGAUGAGGGAAAUGGAAAAGGGAGAGACACGCAAGGGAGUAUUUACAUUUCUCCUCUUCAUGACAGUCCACUUGACAGACAGAGUUGGGGAGCCCCGGCAUUUUUUAAUGUGUGUGUGUGAUUUUUUUAAAAGGCAUAUUCUUUGGCUCUGACAUCACCAGAAAAUGGAAUGAACAAAGUAUGUAAAUUUCUCCAAGCUCCCACAAUAUCCAUUUUCUCUCAGUGGAUGGGAUUUUGUUUUUCUUUUCUGGUGUUGCUCCCACACAAUGGGGCCAAAUCUUGUUCAGGACAAAGAAACAUAUAAAUAGAACAUGCAUGUGGUAUGCAAGGGAACUUUGGAGAGCAGAGGGAGACUGUUUGGAAAAGCGUCUGGGGGCUGCCAGGGGGAACUACGGGGUCCUGGCCCGAAGUAUUCCACAAGCAGAAGUCUGCCUGUCCCUAACGUCGCAAGGCAGAAAUUCCCAAACCGCUCUCAUUCUCGGGCAAACACUAAGAAACAUUGGAAUGGGGACAAACGUAAGAGGAGAAUGUGAAGUAUCUGUGCGUGAAUAUGAGCAAGAGUAUGUGUACAUAAGAUGACCAUGAGCCCAAUUCAUAGGCUGGACAUGCUUCCCAGAGCCUUCUUUACCAGGAAGGAUGCUAAAUCAUGCGUGGUGUCUCACGCUCUGCAUCAUCUCGGUGGGCUACCACAGACCAGCUGAAACUUCCAUCAAACAUGCUUUCCUGUAUUAAGCAUUUGCAAUUGUUUUAGUGUCAAUCACCCGUCAACCAACCCCUCCAGUCUCAUAACUGCACACUUACGGCUCCAGCCAAAAAGACUUUUAUCAGCGCAAGUUUGAACAAACUAAUGUGUAUAGGUCCUGAGCGGUUAUUUUUGUUUCCAAGUCUGGACAUAGAAUCACUUGUUCAAUUUCCUGCUGGGUUAUAUCAGGCAGUUUUAACAUGUAAAUCUCUGAUAAGGAAACUGACUAAUUUAUGUGGGUUGCCAUCUGCGUAGCUGUCAGAGUUGCCUUCAUGUCUUUUCUGCUUCCUUUCUUCUCUAUUCUUUCUCAGUCAUUAUUGUCACCGCCAUUCCUAGUCCUAUCAGCUGUACCCUUAUUUGUUACAUGUUUAGAAUAUGUUCUUAGGCUAAAGAAUGUUGUAAAAGCAAACAACCAACCAAAAGACCCUGUGUCCUUGAAGUUCAUGUGGGAGUUCUGCUGACCUGGAGGUCUAUGCUUUACAACUUGGAUUAGAAAUAAAUACGCCCCUCGGACUCCUUCAAGCAAUGUCUUUGAUGAUCAGAAGAUUAAUUUUUAAAAAUUAAGAUGAAAAACCAGUCAUAAUCUAAACUACUUCUGCUUCAUGGAUAUCCUUCACCAGCGUCAGCCGACUCCAGUUGACAGAGCUUUAGGACCUCUAAGUUAAAAUCCUAUAAGCUGCUUGAACACCCCUUCCCAAAACCUGCCUUGGGCUAUAAACCCACAGGUAAAUCGAUCCCUGUGGGUUUUCCCACUCAAUAGCUUGAUCAGAGAAGCAGGUAUUUUCAAAUAAUUGCUCAUUCUGUGCCCAAAUAUACAGACUGAGGUGGAUCGAUUUGACAUAAACCUGUAAUCAAGUAUCUGGUGCUGUUCUCAUAUUGAGGGGUAAACCUGGCCUCAGCCAAGUCCACAACUACCCCCAGACUUGGGAGCUUGGGCACAUUCUUUAAGGACUCAAAGUCAGAGGCUGCCAUCCCAUUGGCUGGGAACAGAAAUAGAAUCCAUCUAUUCUGGGACUGGGACAGCAAGCCAGGUAGGGCUCUGCUCCCUCUUCCAAGGCUUUGAGGAUGGGGAUGGGGAGAGUGGCAGG